CAGCAGCCGCGGGAAUACGUAGGUGGCAAGCGUUGUCCGGAAUUAUUGGGCGUAAAGGGCUCGCAGGCGGUUUCUUAAGUCUGAUGUGAAAGCCCCCGGCUCAACCGGGGAGGGUCAUUGGAAACUGGGAAACUUGAGUGCAGAAGAGGAGAGUGGCAUUUCACGUGUAGCGGUGAAAUGCGUAGAGAUGUGGAGGAACACCAGUGGCGAAGGCGACUCUCUGGUCUGUAACUGACGCUGAGGAGCGAAAGCGUGGGGAGCGAACAGGAUUAGAUACCCGCGUAGUCCCUGUCUCUUAUAC
rnacentral:rRNA from 1 species